GUGAAACAAACAGAAACUUAAUCACAGCGCACUGGUACAGAUUGGUGGGGUGCUGGAAUGAGGCGCCUGCAAAAACAAAUUCCUGAAUGAAAUGGUGAUGAUCUGGAAUUGUUCGGUAUCACCAAAGAGGAAACCCUGCCGUGCACACAUCCCGGCGCCCACCGUGUCAACUGACAGUUAAACGUCAGAAACGUCAUCCACGAACCGCGCGCGCAAUGCGCUCGCGUCAGAGCACGUCCAACCGCCAACGAGGCAACACACAACAGUCGCAACAGAAAAAAGAUCGGAAGUGAAGAAGAAGUGCAUUGUAGUGAGAAGUAGGAGAGGAAGAAGAAGGAGAAAACAAAACAAGAAAAUCCAAAGUUCCACUGUUUUUCCUCCCUACUGCGGUUCCACUGCAAAUCCGCCAACAACCCGAAAUACAGUCCACUACCCAUAAUCGGCCAGCCCCGAACAGGAAUCAUAUGGUUGUACAAAAGAUUGUAGCUGCAAGUAGAACCAAAAAAUCGUGCGUUGAAAUAUUUCUAAUUUUAAUAAAACUUGAUCAUAAAUGAUUCGUUGACUGUAAUUAUAUGGUACAUGCAAGCUA